rnacentral:rRNA from 1 species
CGGGCGGGUGAGUAAUGUCUGGGAAACUGCCCGAUGGAGGGGGAUAACUACUGGAAACGGUAGCUAAUACCGCAUAAUGUCGCAAGACCAAAGAGGGGGACCUUCGGGCCUCUUGCCAUCGGAUGUGCCCAGAUGGGAUUAGCUAGUAGGUGGGGUAACGGCUCACCUAGGCGACGAUCCCUAGCUGGUCUGAGAGGAUGACCAGCCACACUGGAACUGAGACACGGUCCAG